rnacentral:rRNA from 1 species
AGCGAACGCUGGCGGCAGGCCUAACACAUGCAAGUCGAACGGAUCCUUCGGGAUUAGUGGCGGACGAGUGAGUAACACGUGGGAACGUGCCCUUUGGUUCGGAACAACUCAGGGAAACUUGAGCUAAUACCGGAUGUGCCCUUCGGGGGAAAGAUUUAUCGCCAUUGGAGCGGCCCGCGUCUGAUUAGCUAGUUGGUGAGGUAAAGGCUCACCAAGGCGACGAUCAGUAGCUGGUCUGAGAGGAUGAUCAGCCACAUUGGGACUCAGACACGGCCCAAACACCUGCGGGAGGCAGCAGUGGGGAAUCUUGCGCAAUGGGCGAAAGCCUGACGCAGCCAUGCGGCGUGAAUGAUGAAGGUCUUAGGAUUGUAAAAUUCUUUCACCGGGGACGAUAAUGACGGUACCCGGAGAAGAAGCCCCGGCUAACUUCGUGCCAGCAGCCGCCGUAA